rnacentral:rRNA from 1 species
GACAGAGGAUGCAAGCGUUAUCCGGAAUGAUUGGGCGUAAAGCGUCUGUAGGUGGCUUUUUAAGUCCGCCGUCAAAUCCCAGGGCUCAACCCUGGACAGGCGGUGGAAACUACCAAGCUGGAGUACGGUAGGGGCAGAGGGAAUUUCCGGUGGAGCGGUGAAAUGCGCAGAUAUCAGGAGGAACACCGAUGGCGAAGGCAGGUCUCUGGGCAUUAACUGACGCUGAGGAGCGAAAGCAUGGGGAGCGAACAGG